UUUCCGUAGGUGAACCUGCGGAAGGAUCAUUCAUAAUAAAGUGUUUUAUGGCACUUUUUAAAAAUCCAUAUCCACCUUGUGUGCAAUGUUAGAUCUCGUCAAUCUUGGCGAGAUUUUUAUACAUCAACUCAUUUUUUAACUAAUUUGUCUGAAAAAUAUUAUGAAUACUUAAUUCAAAAUACAACUUUCAACAACGGAUCUCUUGGCUCUCACAUCGAUGAAGAACGCAGC
rnacentral:misc_RNA from 1 species